AGUGGGGGAUAACGUAGCGAAAGUUACGCUAAUACCGCAUAUGCCCUGAGGGGGAAAGGUGGGGAUCGUAAGACCUAUCGCUUUCGGAGUGGCCGAUAUCAGAUUAGCUAGUUGGUGAGGUAAAGGCUCACCAAGGCGACGAUCUGUAGCUGGUCUGAGAGGACGACCAGCCACACUGGGACUGAGACACGGCCCAGACUCCUACGGGAGGCAGCAGUGGGGAAUUUUGGACAAUGGGGGCAACCCUGAUCCAGCCAUGCCGCGUGAGUGAAGAAGGCCUUCGGGUUGUAAAGCUCUUUCAGCCGGAAAGAAAUCGCAUUAGCUAAUAUCUAGUGUGGAUGACGGUACCGGAAGAAGAAGCACCGGCUAACUACGUGCCAGCAGCCGCGGUAAUACGUAGGGUGCGAGCGUUAAUCGGAAUUACUGGGCGUAAAGCGUGCGCAGGCGGUUUUGUAAGACAGGUGUGAAAUCCCCGGGCUUAACCUGGGAACUGCAUUUGUGACUGCAAGGCUAGAGUAUGGCAGAGGGGGGUAGAAUUCCA
rnacentral:rRNA from 1 species